rnacentral:rRNA from 1 species
UACGAAGGGGGCUAGCGUUGUUCGGAUUUACUGGGCGUAAAGGGCGCGUAGGCGGACCUGUAAGUCAGGGGUGAAAUCCCAAGGCUCAACCUUGGAACUGCCUUUGAUACUGUGGGUCUUGAGUUCGAGAGAGGUAAGUGGAACUGCGAGUGUAGAGGUGAAAUUCGUAGAUAUUCGCAAGAACACCAGUGGCGAAGGCGGCUUACUGGCUCGAAACUGACGCUGAGGCGCGAAAGCGUGGGGAGCAAACAGG